rnacentral:lncRNA from 1 species
UUUCUCCUCCCACCCCUCAUGAGAAGCCUGAGGGGAUUUUUCUCUAAGAUUUACAGGGAGAACAUCAUCAAGCUCCUGUAGGGAGAAAUCAACUGUCUGUCUUUUAGAGAACUCAGCAAAACAAAACCAAAAGGAUAUAUUGGAGACAGAGGGUGAUUUUAAGGAAUUGGCUCAUAUGUUGAUGGUAGGCUAAGAAGUUCCAAGAUCGUGUCAAAAAUUUGGAAAUAGCAGAAGUAAAACCACUGGAUCACUGAAUAAUAAUUAGUAAAAGCUUACUGUGCACACACAAAAAAUAACAGUUUAUAAACUGGGAACUCUUAAACUGAACAUGGAAUGAGGCUCAGAGUUAUACUGUUAUUAUGCAGAUUAUAUAGUGAGAAAGCAGUGGAUGUUUAUUCUUCACAGUGAUUGGUUAUAACUUGAGAGUUUUCCUACUAAAAGAGAGCUGGUUAAAAGUAGUUACCUCAUAUUAGUUUUGGAGGACAAUUUAAGUUCUGUUUAUGAUUUUCAGAGGCAUUAACAAGAAGUGGCCCAAGUUAAGUUUCCCUUGUUUUGCAGAGUAAGCCAAAUUAAGUUUUGUGUGUAUGACUAAACUGAUUUGUCUGCCCAAGAAAUUUUAAGUCUUGUCUCCAUUUGUGUUUGAUUUCUAACAAUCUUCAGUUGGCAAACUGGAGACCCAGAAGAACCAAUGGUGUAGUUCCAGUUGGAAUCCAAAGGCCUGGGAACCAGCAAGCCAAUGCUGCAAAUUCCAGUAUGAAAGUCAGCAAGCUUGAGACCCCAGGAGAGCU